rnacentral:rRNA from 1 species
UACGGAGGGGGCUAGCGUUGUUCGGAAUUACUGGGCGUAAAGCGCACGUAGGCGGCGAUUUAAGUCAGAGGUGAAAGCCCGGAGCUCAACUCCGGAACUGCCUUUGAGACUGGAUUGCUAGAAUCUUGGAGAGGCGAGUGGAAUUCCGAGUGUAGAGGUGAAAUUCGUAGAUAUUCGCAAGAACACCAGUGGCGAAGGCGGCUCACUGGCCCAUAACUGACGCUGAGGCACGAAAGCGUGGGGAGCAAACAGG